AUUACCCAGAACAUUUGCUAGUUCACAGAUAUUUCAUAAUUAUUUUACAAUAUUAUAAACAAUUUUCAGCCUGACAUAUUUUCAUUUUCCAUUAGAACUGAUAAUAUUGAUACAAUUAAUUUAUACAAAUGAUUUUACAUUAAAUUCUAAGAUACAAAACCCUGUCUAAAUAAAUCCAGCACACAGUUCAAGUUCCAUUAAAUAUUCAGGAAUGAAUACAUUCAAAUAACAGUUAUAUGUACAGUACCUAUACAUUAAUAUUUACAUUAGGCAUUUUGUAAUCAUCAGUACAGUCAGCAGUAGAAGUUGCUAAGCGGGCGAGGUGUUCAAAAUGAUCUUGACGCGACUUUAUUCUUAACCUCACAUGAUUGAUAUUUUUCAGUUACCUCUAUUAUUAUGUGAGUGACAGCUAUGCAACUGCAACUACAGUUGCAUAAAGCAUGUGAGUGGCUGAGAAUAUACAGGAGCGUGGCAAGGUCAUUUUGAACACCUCGCCCGCUUAGCCACUUCUGCGGCUGACUGUACAAGAGUUAAUUAAUAAUUUGUUGACGCAGCUUGACUAUAUUUAUUCGUCUGAAAUAUUAGGUUUAACUAAAGUUUAUAACGAAUAAAUGCGCGGUCAUUGUGUGACACAUGUCGGUAUCACACGGCCAUAUUUGCUCAAUCAUUCGUGUUCCAUCUCUUUCCUUCCUUAUCCUUAAUAUGGCAAUUAAGAGGAGCAGCACAAAGUGAAUGGAGUUAGACCAAGCUAAGUCGGCAGCGAUUUUGAUAGCCUAGCCUGUGCAAGUGUUAUUUUAAAACGUCAAACUUGUAUGAAACCAUGACGUUUAAUUAGCACUUGCAGCCUAUGCUAUUGCUGCUAACUUUGGUUGGUCCAACUCUAACUGACUUCGAAGUUUGCAGCAUGCAUUUUGUGAUUUUUACAGGGACGGAAUGGGAGUUACUUUCAGUUUAAGGCGUUCUGUGAACUGUUUAUUGUAUGCUGCUGUUCUAAAUGUAUAUAAAAUCGAUUCAAUGCCAUCCCUUACGAUAAAAUAAUCUUGUCAAGUAAAAUGCGACCUUGCGACUUUCCACUACAAAUUAUUUUACUUUUUGGUUAAAUAGGCAGAAAGUAAUAUCUUACAAUGAGCGAUGACAAAGCGAUCUCAGUCCAUAAUCGGUCGGUAAGGGUGGUCUUCCACCUGUCCAAUUUCUUUGUCCAAUCUGUAUUUUGUCUCACAAUAAGCAAUUGUGUGAUAUCUAUUAUAUUAAUAAUGUAAAUAUUUCAAUACAGUUACUAUUAUGAUUAUCAAAUAAAUGGUUUAUUCUUUUACAA